ensembl:snRNA U6 U6 spliceosomal RNA
GUGCUCACUUCAGCAGCACAUAUACUAAAAUCAGAAUGAUACAGAGAAGAGUGGCAUGGCCCCUGCUCAAGGAUGACAUGCAAAUUGGUGAACCGUUCCAUAUUUUA